rnacentral:misc_RNA from 1 species
CUGUACAUACUCCACCGGAGUGUAAA